rnacentral:rRNA from 1 species
UACGAAGGGGGCUAGCGUUGCUCGGAAUCACUGGGCGUAAAGCGCACGUAGGCGGAUUGCUAAGUCAGGGGUGAAAUCCUGGAGCUCAACUCCAGAACUGCCUUUGAUACUGGCGGUCUCGAGUCCGGGAGAGGUGAGUGGAACUGCGAGUGUAGAGGUGAAAUUCGUAGAUAUUCGCAAGAACACCAGUGGCGAAGGCGGCUCACUGGCCCGGUACUGACGCUGAGGUGCGAAAGCGUGGGGAGCAACAGGG